AGAGGGGUGCAAGCGUUAAUCGGACUGACUGGGCGUAAAGGGCUCGUAGGGCGGACUAACAAGUUAGAGGGUGAAAGACCCGGGGCUUAACCUGGGAAUUGCCUAUAAGACUGUUAAUCUAGAGUACAGUAGAGGAUAGAGGAAUUUCCGGUGUAGCGGUGAAAUGCGUAGAUAUCGGAAAGAACACCAGUAGUGAAGACGUCUAUCUGGACUGUAACUGACGCUGAGGAGCGAAGGCGUGGGUAGCGAACAGGAUUAGAGACCCUGGUAGUCCACGCAGUAAACGAUGAGUACUAGCUGUUGGGAAGCGACGACUUCUUAGUGGCGCAGCAAACGCGUUAAGUACUCCGCCUGGGGACUACGGCCGCAAGGCUA
rnacentral:rRNA from 1 species